CCAUAAUGUUUAUUCCAGAGAAAAUUAUGUUGAAAGGAUCUUAUUUCCAUCUCUUCUUUUCUUUUUGCAUCUCAAAGGGUACUAUGGAUGAGUUACAUGCGGUCCAUCCUUCAGAACAGAACAAUAGGUAAGGUAUAUCAAUGGUACCUUGUUUUAUGUUGAAUUCAGUCACAUUCAUGGAUUCCCCUUUGCUGUGCAUUCAAACCAUUGUGGACCUGCUUCAGUUUCCAGCUCUUUUAGUCAAGGUAUAUAAUGAAGGAUGCACAAACAAUUUCUUAUCGCACAGUGAAGUUGAACUUGUUGAGCAUCACACCUUUUCAAAUUAUAACCAUGAUCGGAAUUGUAAUUGUUCUAUAUCAACUUAGUACACUAACUUUGCGGAUUAUUGAGACUCUACUUUACAACGU
rnacentral:rRNA from 1 species